rnacentral:rRNA from 1 species
AUUGAACGCUGGCGGCAGGCCUAACACAUGCAAGUCGAGCGAGCGGCGGACGGGUGAGUAAUGUCUGGGAAACUGCCUGAUGGAGGGGGAUAACUCCUGGAAACGGUAGCUAAUACCGCAUACCAUCAGAUGUGCCCAGAUGGGAUUAGCUAGUAGGUGGGGUAAUGGCUAACCUAGGCGACGAUCCCUAGCUGGUCUGAGAGGAUGACCAGCCACACUGGAACUGAGACACGGUCCAGACUCCUACGGGAGGCAGCAGUGGGGAAUAUUGCACAAUGGGCGAAAGCCUGACGCAGCCAUGCCGCGUGUAUGAAGAAGGCCUUCGGAUUGUAAAGUACUUUCAGCGGGGAGGCGUUACCCGAAGAAGAAGCACCGGCUAACUACGUGCCAGCAGCCGCGGUAAUAC